GUAAUCGCGAAUCAGCAUGUCGCGGUGAAUACGUUCCCGGGUCUUGUACACACCGCCCGUCACACCAUGGGAGUCAGUAACGCCCGAAGUCAGUGACCUAACCUUAGGGAAGGAGCUGCCGAAGGCGGGACGGAUAACUGGGGUGAAGUCGUAACAAGGUAGCCGUAUCGGAAGGUGCGGCUGGAUCACCUCCUUUCUAAGGAA
rnacentral:rRNA from 1 species